UACGUAGGGUGCGAGCGUUAAUCGGAAUUACUGGGCGUAAAGCGUGCGCAGGCGGCGCGUUAAGACAGGUGUGAAAGCCCCGAGCUUAACUUGGGAAUUGCGCUUGUGACUGGCGUCCUGGAGUGUGGCAGAGGGAGGUGGAAUUCCACGUGUAGCAGUGAAAUGCGUAGAGAUGUGGAGGAACACCGAUGACGAAGGCAGCCUCCUGGGCCAGCACUGACGCUCAUGCACGAAAGCGUGGGGAGCGAACAGG
rnacentral:rRNA from 1 species